UAGAAACACGGGUUCUCCUCCGAUCAGCAAAGUUAAGCAAUGACGAGUCUGAUCAGUAUCUAGAUGAGUGACCGCUUAGGAAUAUCCGGUGCUGUAA